rnacentral:rRNA from 1 species
UGAUCCUGGCUCAGGAUGAACUCUAGCGAUAGGCCUAACACAUGCAAGUCGAGGGGCAUCACAUGAGGUAGCAAUACCGAUGGUGGCGACCGGCGCACGGGUGAGUAACACGUAUGCAACCUGCCUUCAACAAGGGGAUAACUCGUUGAAAGACGGACUAAUACCCUAUAACACAGGGCUCCCGCAUGGGAAUAUUUGUUAAAGAUUUAUCGGUUGAAGAUGGGCAUGCGUUCCAUUAGUUAGUUGGGGGGGUAACGGCCCACCAAGGCAACGAUGGAUAGGGGACCUGAGAGGGUGGCCCCCCACAAUGGAACUGAAACACGGUCCAUACACCUACGGGUGGCAGCAGUAGGGAAUAUUAGAAAUGGGCGAAAGCCUGAUCUAGCAACACCGCGUGUGCGAUGAAGGCCUUCGGGUUGUAAAGCACUUUUUGGAGGGAAUAGGAAGGAAGGUACCUCCAGAAUAAGUCUCGGCUAACUACGUGCCAGCAGCCGCGGUAACACGUAGGAGGCAAACGUUAUCCGGAUUCACUGGGCGUAAAGCGCGUGUAGGUGGUUCUGUAAGUAGGGCGUGAAAGCUCCCGGCUCAACUGGGAGAGGCCGUACUAAACUGCAGAGCUAGAGGAUGGUAGAGGGAGGUGGAAUUCCAGGUGUAGUGGUGAAAUGCGCAGAUAUCUGGAGGAACACCAGUGGCGAAGGCGGCCUCCUGGACCAUUCCUGACACUCAGACGCGAAAGCUAGGGUAGCAAACAAAAGUAGAGACUCCGGUAGUCCUAGCCCUAAACGAUGCAGACUAGGCGUCGGCGGUUUAAUCACCGUCGGUGUCCAAGCUAACGCGAUAAGUCUGCCGCCUGAGGACUACGGCCGCAAGGCUAAAACUCAAAGGAAUUGACGGGUCCCCGCACAAGCAGCGGAGCGUGUGGUUUAAUUCGAUGCUCCGCGAAGAACCUUACCUGGGUUUGACAUAACAGUGGUAGAGAAGUGAAAACGGAUCGACCCUUCGGGGAGCUGUUACAGGUGUUGCAUGCCUGUCGUCAGCUCGUGUCGUGAGAUGUUCGGUUAAGUCCGCUAACGAGCGCAACCCGCGCUGUGUGUUACAAGUGUCACACAGUACCGCCGGUAUUAAGUCGGAGGAAGGUGCGGAUGACGUCAAGUCAGCAUGACCUUUAUAUCCAGGGCUACACACACGCUACAAUGGUCAGAACAAUAGGUUGCCAAGCCGCAAGGCGGAGCCAAUCCUCCAAAUCUGGCCUCAGUUCAGAUUGCAGGCUGCAACUCGCCUGCAUGAAGUCGGAGUUGCUAGUAACCGCAGGUCAGCAUACUGCGGUGAAUACGUUCCCGGGGAUUGUACACACCGCCCGUCAAG